rnacentral:rRNA from 1 species
GGUGCUUGCAUCAUGAUUUACAUUUGAGUGAGUGGCGAACUGGUGAGUAACACGUGGGAAACCUGCCCAGAAGCGGGGGAUAACACCUGGAAACAGAUGCUAAUACCGCAUAACAACUUGGACCGCAUGGUCCGAGUUUGAAAGAUGGCUUCGGCUAUCACUUUUGGAUGGUCCCGCGGCGUAUUAGCUAGAUGGUGAGGUAACGGCUCACCAUGGCAAUGAUACGUAGCCGACCUGAGAGGGUAAUCGGCCACAUUGGGACUGAGACACGGCCCAAACUCCUACGGGAGGCAGCAGUAGGGAAUCUUCCACAAUGGACGAAAGUCUGAUGGAGCAACGCCGCGUGAGUGAAGAAGGGUUUCGGCUCGUAAAACUCUGUUGUUAAAGAAGAACAUAUCUGAGAGUAACUGUUCAGGUAUUGACGGUAUUUAACCAGAAAGCCACGGCUAACUACGUGCCAGCAGCCGCGGUAAUACGUAGGUGGCAAGCGUUGUCCGGAUUUAUUGGGCGUAAAGCGAGCGCAGGCGGUUUUUUAAGUCUGAUGUGAAAGCCUUCGGCUCAACCGAAGAAGUGCAUCGGAAACUGGGAAACUUGAGUGCAGAAGAGGACAGUGGAACUCCAUGUGUAGCGGUGAAAUGCGUAGAUAUAUGGAAGAACACCAGUGGCGAAGGCGGCUGUCUGGUCUGUAACUGACGCUGAGGCUCGAAAGUAUGGGUAGCAAACAGGAUUAGAUACCCUGGUAGUCCAUACCGUAAACGAUGAAUGCUAAGUGUUGGGAGGGUUUCCGCCCUUCAGUGCUGCAGCUAACGCAUUAAGCAUUCCGCCUGGGGAGUACGGCCGCAAGGCUGAAACUCAAAGGAAUUGACGGGGGCCCGCACAAGCGGUGGAGCAUGUGGUUUAAUUCGAAGCUACGCGAAGAACCUUACCAGGUCUUGACAUACUAUGCAAAUCUAAAAAAUUAAACUUUCCCUUCGGGGACUUGGAUACAGGUGGUGCAUG